UACAGAGGGUGCGAGCGUUAAUCGGAAUUACUGGGCGUAAAGCGUGUGUAGGUGGUUGGAUAAGUUAGAUGUGAAAACCCUGGGCUUAACCUGGGACUUGCGUUUAAGACUGUUUGACUAGAGUACUGUAGAGGGUAGUGGAAUUUCCAGUGUAGCGGUGAAAUGCGUAGAUAUUGGAAGGAACACCAGUGGCGAAGGCGACUAUCUGGACAGAUACUGACACUGAGACACGAAAGCAUGGGUAGCAAACAGG
rnacentral:rRNA from 1 species